GCAGCCAAUAGGUGCUGGCCUCCAUUGGACCAGGUAAAUGAGGUCAUAAGGGCUAUAUAAGUUGAGGACUGCCCAGGAGGAGGGGCAGUAGUCAUGAUGAAAACUCAAGGAGAGAAGAGCUGGACCAUCUGAAACUUGCUCUGUCUCUUGAAACUCAUGAUCAAGGAACCGCCUGCCUCCAGAGGGAAUCUCCACUUGCCUCUGGAUGAUACUUCUCUUUACUCAAGACCCUUGAGUCUGACUGGACAACUGAGCACCGCAGAGGCCCCCAACACAUACACGGCUGCAGCAACAGGUCGGUCUCAGCGGCUUCGUUGUCGGUGGUGAAGGCUGGCCCCAUGGAGCAAAUGAAAUGCCGGAGCCUAACUGGAAGGGCCACGCGUGCGAUCAAUGUAAUUCAGCGAGAUUCAACCGAACGGCAACGAUGGAUCCCAGAGCCCGCAGCAUCAGCUCUCUCUCGCAUUGUCUGUCCUUUGCAAUAUAUGUCGCAAAAACUUGGGGGGUAAGCACUAAGGAGCUGGAGGUCUGAAGCAGCAGCCAAGGCUCCCCCUAAACCAUCUUGUAAUCUCUUCUCAUUUCUGUCAAGAUACCCCACCCCACAGCGUAUUGUGCUCGCUUCUGCACAAAGGCAGAAUUAGUCACAGGUGGUUCUUUUCAAAAAUACAUAUGGGCUGAGUCUGUGAACAUAUGGCCUGAUGGCAUAUUAAUAACAGAAAUCAGAGGUUCCCUGUUAGUCACACAACAAUGAAGCAGAUUGAAGGAAAGACACCUUUAAUAAAGAAUGCCUAAUGCACUGGAGUACAUGAAUCACCCUUAACCAGGUCAAUGUGCUCCCUCAGCCUUGCCUAAUAAAAUUAGCCAUUUAUGGGCAUUGCAAGAUGUUUUUUUUUUCCUUCUGUAUUAACCAGCAGUUACUUUCUCCCAUUAUUUCAGAGUUAAAGCACAUUUUUAAGGGAAUAAGGGAGUGUAUAAUAAAGCCAAUUGCACAUACCCAUGAAGCAAUUUUAAUCGCUCACUUUUCCUAUUGGGAUCCCUUUGCAAUAGCCUCUAACAGUAACACUCACGAAUCAGAGCCAACAGCAAACCCAU